rnacentral:lncRNA from 1 species
AUUCUGGUCAGUUCGUUCUGUUACGCCUCAGACACAGGGAAGGAAGACUCAAUUGCACGACUCCAGACACAAGGGUAAAGUGUAGAAUAAACCAAAACUUUACUUCCAAAAAACAACAAAAUAACAACUCAAAACGCUCACAAGGAGGAUAUACAAAUUUCUCUGAAAAGCACACUUCAUGGAACACUGGUAGUUGCACAUGAUCUCACAAGGAUAUGACAAGAUGAACUGACACACGACAAGGGGAGACAGGACAAUUUAUACAAGAGGUGAGUGGGAACAGGUGAAAACAAUCAGGGGGCGAGGCAGACACUGGCGAUGGAGGGACAUCACACCAGGACAGGAAGUAAAGGGAUCUGGGUUGAGAAACAAGAGGUAGGUACAAAAUAAAACAACUCAACAAAUUCGACGAGACAUGACACAACCACUGCAGACACCCAUCCUGCAAACCAGCCUUUGAUCACCUGCCGGAGCGCACAUUUCUCACUGCUGACAGCUUCCCUGGAAUCAGCGGCCCAAUGUUAUCACAGAUACAGAUUACAGCAGGAAACAGGUGACAUCAGUUCAUCAUCACCUGCAUCUACACCACUCCACUCAUUUCAACCAGUCCAAACGGUGGCAAGGUUCCCUUCCAGAUCCUCCUCUCCACCCACACAGCAGUGAAGGUGGCAGAGAGGGCAACUUGGAUCUACGCCAGCCACUGCAACCACUGCCUCACCUCACUGACUCUCCAGAACAGCACGAAGGGGUGAGCACCACACAAACUACAACCUAAAGACACAACAGAGAAUCACCGAGGGUGUCGUUGAAUCUAACUGGAAGGAUUUAGCCUCAGUUUGAGCAACGAGCGUCAUUUGACGUACGCAGAUACACUGCCCUCAAAUCAUCCGACUUAGGAGAAGUCAUCAAGUGACCUGCAGAAGAGUUUCUGUGUCACCCACGAGGGACCUACACGUCAUCUACACGGACAGACCACGUCCGUGGCAUCCAUUCCAACACCUGGGGU